ensembl:lncRNA
GCACACUCUGCAGCUUCCUAGCAUCCAACAUAUGUACAACAGAAGAAAUAUUUCCCUUUUCAUCGGAAAAAACCCUGAUGCUGGGAAAGACUGAGGGCAGGAGGAGAAGGGGACGACUGAGGACGAGAUGGUUGGAUGGUAUCAACGACUCAGCAGACAUGAGUUUGAGCAAGCUCUGGGAGAUGGUGAAGGACAGGGAACACAGAUUCAAUCCCUGGUCCAGGAGGAUCCCACAUGCCAUGGAGCAACCAAGCUGGUAUGCCACAACUGCUGAGUCUGCAUGCCCUAGAGUCUGUGCUUCAAAGCAAGAGAAGCCAUCACAAUGAAAAGCCUCGACACCCCAACUAGAGGGUAGCCCACACUAGAGAAAGCCACCCCCCGCGACCCUGCAGCAACACAGACCCG